AUUGAACGCUGGCGGCAGGCCUAACACAUGCAAGUCGAACGAGUGGCGGACGGGUGAGUAAUGUCUGGGAAACUGCCUGAUGGAGGGGGAUAACUACUGGAAACGGUAGCUAAUACCGCAUACCAUCGGAUGUGCCCCGAUGGGAUUAGCUAUGAGGUGGGGUAAAGGCUCACCUAGGCAACGAUCCCUAGCAGGUCUGAGAGGCUGCCCAGCCACACUGGACCUGAGACACGGUCCAGAUCCCUACGGGAGGCAGCAGUGGGGAAUAUUGCACAAUGGGAGCAAGCCUGAUGCAGCCAUGCCGCGUGUAUGAAGAAGGCCUUCGGGUUGUAAAUUACUUUCAGCGGGGAGGCGUUACCCGCAGAAGAAGCACCGGCUAACUCCGUGCCAGCCGCCGCGGUAAUAC
rnacentral:rRNA from 1 species